AGUGAACGCUGGCGGUAGGCCUAACACAUGCAAGUCGAACGGCAGCACAGUAAGAGCUUGCUCUUACGGGUGGCGAGUGGCGGACGGGUGAGGAAUACAUCGGAAUCUACUUUUUCGUGGGGGAUAACGUAGGGAAACUUACGCUAAUACCGCAUACGACGUACGGGUGAAAGCAGGGGAUCUUCGGACCUUGCGCGAUUGAAUGAGCCGAUGUCGGAUUAGCUAGUUGGCGGGGUAAAGGCCCACCAAGGCGACGAUCCGUAGCUGGUGUGAGAGGAUGAUCAGCCACACUGGAGCUGAGACACGGUCCAGGCUCCUACGGGAGGCAGCAGUGGGGAAUAUUGGACAGUGGGCGCAAGCCUGAUCCAGCCAUACCGCGUGGGUGAAGAAGGCCUUCGGGUUGUAAAGCCCUUCUGUUGGGAAAGAAAAGCAGCAGGUUAAUACCCCGCUGUUCUGACGGUACCCAAAGAAUAAGCACCGGCUAACUUCGUG
rnacentral:rRNA from 1 species